rnacentral:rRNA from 1 species
GUAGGUGGCAAGCGUUGUCCGGAAUUAUUGGGCGUAAAGCGCGCGCAGGCGGUUCUUUAAGUCUGAUGUGAAAGCCCACGGCUCAACCGUGGAGGGUCAUUGGAAACUGGAGAACUUGAGUACAGAAGAGGAAAGCGGAAUUCCGCGUGUAGCGGUGAAAUGCGUAGAGAUGUGGAGGAACACCAGUGGCGAAGGCGGCUUUCUGGUCUGUAACUGACGCUGAGGCGCGAAAGCGUGGGGAGCAAACAGGAUUAGAUACCCUGGUAGUCCACGCCGUAAACGAUGAGUGCUAAGUGUUAGGGGGGUUUUACCGCCCCCCUUAGUGCUGCAGCUAACGCAUUAAGCACUCCGCCUGGGAGUACGGCCGCAAGGCUG